rnacentral:tRNA from 1 species
UACUACUAUGAGUAGUACUAGCAGUACUUGUACUACUACGAGUAGUACUAGUAGUACUUGUACUACAACAAGUAGUACGAGUAUUACUAGUAGUAC